rnacentral:tRNA from 1 species
AGUUGUUUCCUGGGGACAAGUUCGUCUUGAAAACGAAUUUAAAGGGUUCGAUUCACUUAACAACUU